rnacentral:rRNA from 1 species
AACGAACGCUGGCGGCAUGCCUAACACAUGCAAGUCGAACGAGACCUUCGGGUCGGGUGGCGCACGGGUGCGUAAGGCGGGGGAACCUGCCCUUAGGUUCGGAAUAACUCCCCGAAAGGGGUGCUAAUACCGGCUAAUGUCUUCGGACCAAAGAUUUAUCGCCUUAGGAUGUGCCCGCGUUGGAUUAGCUAGAUGGUAGGGUAAAAGCCUAGCAAGGCGACGGUCCAUAGCUGGUCUGAGAGGAUGAUCAGCCACACUGGGACUGGGACACGGCCCAGACUCCUACGGGAUGCGGCAGUGGGUAAUAUUGCCCAAUCGGCUGCAGCCUGAUCCAGCUCUGCCUCGUGAGUGCUUUAGUCCUUAGGGUUGUAAAGCUCUUUUACCCGGGAUGAUAAUGACAGUACCGGGAGAAUAAGCUCCGGCUAACUCCGUG